UGCGCAGGCGGUUUUGUAAGACAGAGGUGAAAUCCCCGGGCUCAACCUGGGAACUGCCUUUGUGACUGCAAGGCUGGAGUGCGGCAGAGGGGGAUGGAAUUCCGCGUGUAGCAGUGAAAUGCGUAGAUAUGCGGAGGAACACCGAUGGCGAAGGCAAUCCCCUGGGCCUGCACUGACGCUCAUGCACGAAAGCGUGGGAGCAAACA
rnacentral:rRNA from 1 species